GUUAGGGUUAUUUUUUUUUUUUUUUUUUGUUAAACGAAACUGUCGUUAAACGUACUUCUUAAGUUAGAUAGGUUAGGGUUAUUUUUUUUUUUUUUUGUUAAACGAAACUGUCGUUAAACGUACUUCUUAAGUUAGAUAGGUUAGGGUUAUUUUUUUUUUUUUUUUGUUAAACGAAACUGUCGUUAAACGUACUUCUUAAGUUAGAUAGG
rnacentral:misc_RNA from 1 species